ACGGGGGGGGCAAGCGUUGUUCGGAAUUACUGGGCGUAAAGGGCUCGUAGGCGGCCAACUAAGUCGGACGUGAAAUCCCCAGGCUCAACCUGGGAACUGCGUCCGAUACUGGAUGGCUUGAAUCCGGGAGAGGGAUGCAGAAUUCCAGGUGUAGCGGUGAAAUGCGUAGAGAUCUGGAGGAAUACCGAUGGCGAAGGCAGCCUUCUGGCCUAAUACUGACGCUGAGGUGCGAAAGCAUGGGGAGCAAACAGGA
rnacentral:rRNA from 1 species